GGCGCUUUGGCGGAGUGGUUAACGCGAUGCCCUGCUAAGGCAUUUCCUUCGGGAGCGCAGGUUCGAAUCCUGCAGGCGUCG
rnacentral:tRNA from 1 species